rnacentral:rRNA from 1 species
UGAACGCGAAGAACCUUACCAAGGCUUGACAUACACCGGAAACGUCUGGAGACAGGCGCCCCCUUGUGGUCGGUGUACAGGUGGUGCAUGGCUGUCGUCAGCUCGUGUCGUGAGAUGUUGGGUUAAGUCCCGCAACGAGCGCAACCCUUGUCCUGUGUUGCCAGCAUGCCCUUCGGGGUGAUGGGGACUCACAGGAGACCGCCGGGGUCAACUCGGAGGAAGGUGGGGACGACGUCAAGUCAUCAUGCCCCUUAUGUCUUGGGCUGCACACGUGCUACAAUGGCCGGUACAAUGAGCUGCGAUACCGUGAGGUGGAGCGAAUCUCAAAAAGCCGGUCUCAGUUCGGAUUGGGGUCUGCAACUCGACCCCAUGAAGUCGGAGUUGCUAGUAAUCGCAGAUCAGCAUUGCUGCGGUGAAUACGUUCCCGGGUCUUGUACACACGCA